CGACUCCCUGCGGUGACGUCGGGUCCCCGUCCCGGGGGAACACAGCCAAGGCCUGGGCUGCCUAAUACGUACGUGAAGUUUCUACUGCUGCCGACCCCGGGACUGCGGAAGCCAAGCAGCGCUUCGGAUGGACGUGGUGCUUUCUGGAUCCCCGCAGCAGUCCUCAGUCCGCAGCAGAGGCGUGGGAGCGCCACCCGCGAUUUUCGUGCUGGUUGUUUUACGGCAUCCUUUAAUGGGCUGGCGGCGGAGCCAAAGGCUGCCUCGACCUGCCUGCUCUCCUGCUCUUCUCUCGGUCUGGCCCUGCGCUCCCCCCAAAGAACCGCUAGAACAGCAGGAAACGGCCGGCCGGGGGGUUGAUUGUGAUAGUUGUGGAUUUUUUUAUUGUUU
rnacentral:lncRNA from 1 species